GGAACAACAUUGUCUCAUUUACAAAGAGUAUAGUUCCCAAAUACAGCGAUUCCUGGAUCUUCACAAUGAGACUCUUUCCCCUUCUUUGGCUUUUCAUCCUGUUACUGAACAGUGAUACAUCUUUACAACAGAAUGAAAUGACAUGUGACAGAU